GGGAGGGGCCAACCCUGGGGAUUUGGCGCUGGGCGAGAACAAGGCUGCGCGCGCUGGGCGGAGGAAAUCGGGCUACCGGGGGUUGGGCCCAUUCAAGGCCAGCUGUGCCAGGGAGGGAUCUUAAAUCACCACCCUCCCACCUUCCACCAACACCCGCCUGACUCCAGAGAUGACAAAAGGAAGCCCGAAGAGGUUUGUGUGAGUUCUUUCCGGACCGGCAAAACUUAACUGGUAAAGGCGGUCAAGUCCCUGCGGUCUUCUGCACUGAAACUGUUGAAACGGACACCUUCUGGAGGCCUGAAGAGGUGAGAUAACCUGAGCACCUUGCGGCGGGAUGCAGAGCUAGUCUCCGCGGAUCUGAUGUCAGUGACUCACAAGGAGCCAGAGGCGCCCAUGGGAGAGGCAGCCGCCCCCGCAGAUUCCCGAGGUGGAGUCGCCUCGCUCAGGAACCCACAAGUGGAGUCUGAGACCCUGAGGGCCGGGACCCUUCGGAGCGUUGCCAUGCUCUUGGCCCACCACCGCAUGUCCCAAGGCCAUGGACCAAAGUGCUGUGGCCCGAAUGACCGUGGCCACAAGAAGCCGGGAGACUUCGCUGCGACCCUUUACCGCACCAUCCUCUGGGAACAGCUGGUGUGACAGUAACACCUCUGCAUUUGCUUGAAACUGUGAAAGCAGUUUUGUCUUCAGAGUCCUUAGAUACGCAACAAAAGUGACAAAACAAAACGCCAGUCCUUUAUUUCUCCCUUGUGCUCCUGGUUUGUCUGUCGGGGAAGAACGAACGAGGCGGGAGCAUAGGCGGGGGUGGACCAGGCGAGUUCCGGUACCGGACCCUCCGUAGCUUGGCUUUGCUGGGCACGGGCAGGGAGAUGGUGUCUCCUGUGCACACAGUGGGUGACAAGCGGCCAUAGUGGCCUUUUGUCUGAUUUGUCAACACACGCUGGGCAUCCAUGAGAAACAGCAGACAGGCAGCCAGCAGCCCUGAGUACUCCACUUACCCCGGGAAACUUUCCUACUCCGUGGCCCUGGCCCUUCUUGGUCCAGAGUCCAUCUCAGGGGCCCUUCCCAGCAUCUGUGCGUGGGUCUGUGGCCGCCUCCCCUGCAUCCUGCUCGCCCUCCUCUCCAAACGCACCCAUAAAUUCAGAGUUCCUUAAGUGCUAAACAAAUUUGAGCCAGUAUCCCUUACCCCUACGACUCUUGGCAACCCCUUUGUCCACCGCCUGCCAGCCAUCUGUCGAGAUGACCUGUUGCAGUAUCACUGGGGUGGAAGGUGACAGUAGUAGAGAUAAGUGGUCUGGGAAACCAGCCACCCUGCGGUGAGAAGAUGGGCUCAGCACCCUCUCCCAUCUAAAAACUGGCAUGCUGUCUUGCAAUCCCUAUUCCAACUGGGUGACUUUUCCAAGGUGCCUUUUUUUUCUAUAACCAGAAGGAUUUGAAUUAAAUUAUCCACCCCAUCCUGGAGCUGAAAGGGAGCUCUCCCUUGAGAACAAAGCCUAGCAAGAUGUUAGGUACUGUGUCAGACUCACCACAUAGGAUCACUUUAGAAUUCCCCUAACUAGAUGAAUUCUAAUAUACAUCUGAUUCCACCAUCCACCCCCCUGUUGUUUCUGAGAAGCUAUUGUGGACCUGUCAAUUUUCUAGUUAUAUAUAAAUAUGUAACACAAAAAUAGAGUAAUAAUAUACAUACCCUUAUGUAACUAGCUUUUUUCAUUCCACAUCUUGUAGCUACAGAAUAAAAUGCUUUAAUUUACCCAGUGGAUAUAUUUCUUUCUGGAUUUAAAGUAUUAUUCAAAUUUACUGUUAUUUUCUCAGUUCUUAGUUUUGGCUGUAAGUAUGCAGAAGUUGUGGCUAUAUUGUGUGGGGGGAGAUGUGUGUGUACCAUGUGCUGCCCUUAGUUUUGUUUUUCAAGAAUAUGUGUUUUAUAAAUUACUGUAUUACUGUAACAAAUAUAGUCCCAAUUGCAGUAUGUGAAAUGUGUAUUACCCUACAAUGUGAAGAUUAUUGGCAAAAUCAAUGCACAAUAUCUUUUGAAUUUGGUUGGUGAAAGAUCUA